UGCAGGAGGAUGCCUGGACCUGGGUUGAUCGACAUCUCCAGCAGUACCCUUCUCAACCCCAGCAGCACAGUUUCGCCAGGUCCAGGCAGCAUGGCUUGCCUGCGCCCGUCCCAAACUCAUUUUGGGAAGCAUUGACUCUCCCGUGCUGUCAGGGCUGAAAUGAACAUGUUUGAAGGAAAGCAGCACCAAGAAGACGGAAUGCAUAGGCAGCUAUUAGAAAAGCACUGUUAGUGCCCAAGUCAGGAAAUGCAGCUGUUAAAUCCCGAGCCAUACUGGAGCAGAGGUAUUUCAGAUGAAGCUGCCUUACAUCCCUUAACCCUUCCUCCUCUGGGAGAGAUGGAAAUUCUACUGGGAAGCCCUGGCAGGGCUUAGCACUGUCAGCACAUGAGCUCCCUGGCUGCCACCUCCUUAUUGGGCUGGAGGCACACUGAGGCUGGCAGCUGGCAAAAAAAAAAAAAAGAAGAAGAAAAAAACAAACCACAGGAAUCCCACUCCUGAGGAAUCUGGUCAUUUCAAGGAGUUCCUGUGAGAAAGGACUGGGGAACACGGCCUGUGGCAAGAUCUGCAUCCCAAAUGAAGCUGCAUCUCACACCAGAUGAAAGAGAAAAAAUCACGCGUGCUAAAUGGCUCAGCCUCACAAGGACACUUCCAAAUUGCCUGCUGCUCUGCCAGAUCCAACCCCACAAGAAUGGCUGUGGUGACAAUCCCCCUCUUAUAAGGUCCUGCCCAAGAGACCAGUCCCUUGCUCUACUGCCUCACUCAAGUGGGAAGGGUUCGUUGUGCUUGCAGCUCAUGGAGCUGGAGGGAGCAGCUCCUUGUCUUCGACUUGCCCUGGAUUGGCUCAGGGGUCCCUGCUUCCACAGCCUCCUCUGUUUCCAAAGGGAAAAUGUACAAACCAGUGCCAGAGAAAUAUAUGUGGGGAUCACCUCUUUGACCAUUAGGUCUUAGAGUUAGUACUCUUCUUUCUCAUUCAAUAAAUAUAUACAUUUUUCCUGGUAAACAGGACUAGAUUGUAAAGAGAAGUGAAGGAUGAUAUUACCAACCCAUGUGCCUUACAGAGAGGGUGACCAAGAGCCUUCUGCAUGGAAUAGCAAAUCUCCUCAGGCACAAAUGGGGAGAGAGCACUUUGGGUGAGAUUCCUUAGCUGUUAUGAAAAAUGAAGGAUUUCAGAAAUGUGUCUCCUUUUUCAAGGAACAAAACUAGGACCAUGCUCAGUUCUGCCAGAAAGAAGCAUGCAAAGUGAAGAAGCUCAAUGAAAAAUAUCUAAGCUCUGGAGAGAAGUGGGAUUUUAAAUGUACCCCUAUGCUCCAUCCUCAGGGUUUUCCCAUGUGGAGGCUCCAGAUGGCCGCUUGCUCAGCACACUGGUUUUUGCAGCUCGGAGGUGUGUGUGGGUUAGGGACGAAUGCCAUGAUCUUAAAAACUGUGGGCCUAGCUGUACAUUUCCCUUGUCUGCCUGAUGAGGUGAGGGAGAGGGACACAGGAAUCAGAGCAGCCCCAAGCCCUACCCUUCACGGAUGAUCCCUGCUGGUACCAGGCCCAUGAGAAGACUGGGCUUUUGUCCCUGUGUCAGAUUUGUUGAUGUAAAGUGCCUACCCAGCUCCUGGGCAGUGAGCUUUUAUCUCCACAGGGCUCUCUGCUUCUCCAAGUAGAUGUAUCUGCUCUCCUGCCGUUAGCUCGAGGCUCUCUCAUAUGGCAAGCACCAAGGCACAUACGUGCACCCGGCACAGCUUCUUUCUUGGACCUGGUCCUUACGUUUCAGGGACAACAUGCCAUUUGCUCAUGCACCUCGAGCUCUGCAGGUGAAUCAAGAGUGUGGAGCUGGCCUCUGCUUUCGUUCAGCAUCACUGAGAGGCAGCCAUUCUCUGCAGACAUUGACGCGCUGCUGUGCUAAAUGCACCAAAAAGAAAUGGCUUGAGAGCAGAGAGGACUUAAAACUGUGCAGGUUUGGGGCUUUUUUCCCAUUUAAAAUUUUGUAAUAUUUCACUGCCAGCACUGAAUAAUUAUUUCAAAGGAGGAAUUGAAAAAUGUAUUAUUUUACAGCUUGUAAGUAAACAGAGCAAUGGCUCCAUGCUAUGUAUGGAGUGGCCUGAAGUCCUUGUUUUGUUUCUGUGGGACUUUGAGCAACUGCUGUGUUUAUUUUUUCCUGAUAAUCUCUCUAAUAACAUGGAAAAAGAAGGCACAGACUGUGCCUUUUUUCCUUUCUUUUUUGAGAAUUGAAAUAAUUUGUGUUUCUUUUCUGUGGAAUGAAUUUCCAAGCCAUAAUACCGCACGUUGAGUGUAUCUGGAAAGGAUGUUGCCUUGUUCGAUGAACUGAAUUGUGCACACAGUUGGAGGCUCUGACAGUGCCAGCAUCAGUGAAUGCAAGUUGCAUAAAAAAGAGGCAGCAUCAUUCAUGACACUAAUGAACAGUCCUUCCUCGUCUAUCAGAGAAAUCUUUCCCAGGGAUAACGAUUCUCCUAGCAUUUUCUUAGCCAUAAAAGAAGAGAUUGUGUUGGGUCUUUGGUUCUGCAUGAGACUAUCAGGAGGAUUCUUAGGCUGAGAACAGAAAUCAAUGUUUCUGUGAUACUGUAUUGGCUAAAUACUUAGACCAGAGAAAAAAGAUUUUGUUCUGACUGCACAUUGAACUUCUUGUUUUGCUUUGCUGUUACAAGAUUGUGAAAAUAGUGUGAAAUUUAAGGGUGCAUGUUUGAUUCUGAGAAAGUCUGCCAGCAAGUCUUGGUCAUUUAUUGCAACACAAUGUACCUGAUUCACCCAUAUAAUGCUACAGCUUUAAGUAACUGUAAGUUCAUUGAUUUCAGUGGAAUCUUGAGAGUAAAAGGGAAAAAGUGGUAAUUCAACUUUAAUGUAUUUCCUCAUUUUUCAUCAGGUAUUUAUUAGCCUUUAAGAUUCAUCCACUUUAAAUCUUUCUGAGUACUUGAAAAAAGUCUGCUGAGAUAUGACCAAAACCAAUAUGGAUAGCAGAAGAGGCUCUGGG
rnacentral:lncRNA from 1 species